rnacentral:tRNA from 1 species
GGGGUUAUGGCUCAGGCGGUUAGAGCGCCACGCUCACAUCGUGGAGGUCACAGGUUCGAGUCCUGUUAACCCCACCA